GAAUGGGAUUAAAGAUUUAUCGGUGAUGGAUGGGGAUGCGUCUGAUUAGCUUGUUGGCGGGGUAACGGCCCACCAAGGCAACGAUCAGUAGGGGUUCUGAGAGGAAGGUCCCCCACAUUGGAACUGAGACACGGUCCAAACUCCUACGGGAGGCAGCAGUGAGGAAUAUUGGUCAAUGGGCGAGAGCCUGAACCAGCCAAGUAGCGUGCAGGACGACGGCCCUAUGGGUUGUAAACUGCUUUUAUAAGGGAAUAAAGUGGGUCACGUGUGACUUUUUGCAUGUACCUUAUGAAUAAGGACCGGCUAAUUCCGUGCCAGCAGCCGCGGUAAUACGGAAGGUCCGGGCGUUAUCCGGAUUUAUUGGGUUUAAAGGGAGCGUAGGCCGGAGAUUAAGCGUGUUGUGAAAUGUAGUGGCUCAACCUCUGCACUGCAGCGCGAACUGGUCUUCUUGAGUACGCACAACGUGGGCGGAAUUCGUGGUGUAGCGGUGAAAUGCUUAGAUAUCACGAAGAACUCCGAUUGCGAAGGCAGCUCACGGGAGCGCAACUGGCGCUGAAGCUCGAAAGUGCGGGUAUCGAACAGGAUUAGAUACCCUGGUAGUCCGCACGGUAAACGAUGGAUGCCCGCUGUUGGCCUGAAUAGGUCAGCGGCCAAGCGAAAGCAUUAAGCAUCCCACCUGGGGAGUACGCCGGCAACGGUGAAACUCAAAGGAAUUGACGG
rnacentral:rRNA from 1 species